AAUAGAUACCCAGGUAGUCCACGCCGUAAACGAUGGAUGCUAGCUGUGGGGGGGUAUCGACCCCCUCCGUAGCGAAGCUAACGCGUUAAGCAUCCCGCCUGUGGAGUACGGCCGCAAGGCUAAAACAUAAAGGAAUUGACGGGGACCCGCACAAGCGGCGGAGCAUGCGGAUUAAUUCGAUGCAACGCGAAGAACCUUACCAAGGCUUGACAUACACGAGAACGCCGUAGAAAUACGGAACUCUUUGGACACUCGUGAACAGGUGGUGCAUGGUUGUCGUCAGCUCGUGUCGUGAGAUGUUGGGUUAAGUCCCGCAACGAGCGCAACCCUCGUUCUAUGUUGCCAGCGCGUAAUGGCGGGGACUCAUAGGAGACUGCCGGGGUCAACUCGGAGGAAGGUGGGGAUGACGUCAAAUCAUCAUGCCCCUUAUGUCUUGGGCUUCACGCAUGCUACAAUGGCCGGUACAAAGGGCUGCGAAACCGCGAGGUAGAGCGAAUCCCAAAAAACCGGUCUCAGUUCGGAUUGGGGUCUGCAACUCGACCCC
rnacentral:rRNA from 1 species